GAUGAACGCUGGCGGCGUGCCUAAUACAUGCAAGUCGAGCGAACGGACGAGAAGCUUGCUUCUCUGAUGUUAGCGGCGGACGGGUGAGUAACACGUGGAUAACCUACCUAUAAGACUGGGAUAACUUCGGGAAACCGGAGCUAAUACCGGAUAAUAUUUUGAACCGCAUGGUUCAAAAGUGAAAGACGGUCUUGCUGUCACUUAUAGAUGGAUCCGCGCUGCAUUAGCUAGUUGGUAAGGUAACGGCUUACCAAGGCAACGAUGCAUAGCCGACCUGAGAGGGUGAUCGGCCACACUGGAACUGAGACACGGUCCAGACUCCUACGGGAGGCAGCAGUAGGGAAUCUUCCGCAAUGGGCGAAAGCCUGACGGAGCAACGCCGCGUGAGUGAUGAAGGCCUUCGGAUCGUAAAACUCUGUUAUUAGGAAAGAACAUAUGUGUAAGUAACUGUGCACAUCUUGACGGUACCUAAUCAGAAAGCCACGGCUAACUACGUG
rnacentral:rRNA from 1 species